rnacentral:rRNA from 1 species
CUACGGGAGGCACCAGUGAGGAAUAUUGCACAAUGGGGGGAACCCUGAUGCAGCAACGCCGCGUGGAGGAUGACGCAUUUCGGUGUGUAAACUCCUUUUAUAUGUCAAGAAAAUGACGGUAGCAUAUGAAUAAGCACCGGCUAACUCCGUGCCAGCAGCCGCGGUAAUACGGAGGGUGCAAGCGUUACUCGGAACCACUGGGCGUAAAGGACGCGUAGGCGGGUUGGAAAGUCAGGUGUGAAAUCCUACAGCUUAACUGUAGAACUGCACUUGAAACUUCUAAUCUAGAGUAUGGGAGGGGGAGAUGGAAUUAGUGGUGUAGGGGUAAGAUCCGUAGAUAUCACUAGGAAUACCUAAAGCGAAGGCGAUCUCCUGGAACAUUACUGACGCUAAGGCGUGAAAGCGUGGGGAGCAAACAGGAUUAGAUACCCGAGUAGUC